CGUACGAGCCAAAACUCGAACAAUUUGCAGCUGACAUGUCCGAAUGAGAAGAAUUAUGGAGGAACGAUUACUACAACUGGAAGUAUAACGACCUACCUGAGUGGCAGAAGGCGUUCGAUGAUUACAAAGAAAACAAAGUCUGCACCUAAAUAACACGAAAAUUGUAAUAUGUAGGUCUAUGCCUAAAUAUAAGAAUAUAUUUAUAGAAAGAUUGUGAAUAAGAAUUCUAUUCAAUUACUAUAGUUAUUAUUUCAUGUUGUGUGUGUUGUUUUAAUAUUAGCGUGAUUUAACAUUUAACUUAUUUUAUUAUUAUUAUUAAUAAUACUUUAAUAAUAAUAAUAAUAAUAAUAAUAAUAAUAAUAAUAAUAAUAAUAAUAAUAAUAAUAAUAAUAAUAAGUCUAUCAGCCUUUAAAAUGGCAAUAACAUACUAAUUAUGAUUUUGAAAAUAAAACAUGUUCACCAUUGACUAACAUAUAAAGGAUGACCCGACGUACAAGUUGAUAAACAUGUAUAUAUAUACAAAUUAUGUCGUAAUGAAUUUCCAAAAGGAGAAAUAAAAGGAACUAUGAACAGUGAGAAUACCUUUGAGCAUACUAUUUUCAUACUAGUCCGGCAGCCAAAGUGUUGAACAAAAUCUAUUGUUUUUUGUCUUAAGUUUUUUUGUACGAUGGACAAUCAGUUAUGAAAAAAAUUGUUUACUGGACGCAGGGCAGCAUUGAGCAAUUUGAGAUACCGUUUAAUGGGCUUCUAUUCGGGGCUGCUUUUGCAAAGGAAAAAAGGGGCUUAUUCCUCUUCAAUAUGAAUGCUGUAGGUUUUAGGAAUUACUACUAUAAAACAAUAAAUAGGGCCAUUACUGUCAGUCAUGUAUCAUGUAGUGUAUUAACUGGCAUUGUAUCACCUAAGCUACUGUAUUAAACCAUGCGUGUUUUUAAUU